CAAACUCUCUCUCCUCCCCAGAGCCCCUCCCCUCCUCUGGCAGGCGGGUAGGCUUGGGAGGAAGAGAGAAAGACAGGCGCCAGUGAAAGUACACUUGGAAGAAGAGAAGAGGGCAAAUGAGGAAACUGAGGCCCGAGGAGAAGAGGGAAUCGGAAUUCCCUCCCACGUUCCUCAAGGACGUCUGGGCCACAGUCUCCUUCUGGUCCCUAGUACAGGCCUGGCACACAGCAGACAGUAGCAAAGCUAGCUCCAGCCCGGCUGUGGCCAAGGAGGGGGUGCCUGGGACAAGCCCCCUAUUCCCUGCUCACUGCUGGCAGAGUUCCUUGAGAGCCCCUCCACCAAGGGACAGAGUGACUCACCUCAUCUCGCACUGCUAGGAAGACAACAGGAUACCAGGCACCUCCACUGGGCCAGAGAAAGGGCAGAAGCAGCAAGAGUCUCCAGCUUGGCCACGCUCAGCAGCCAAAGCUGCUCGCUUCCACCCUCAGUCCAGCCUGCUCGGGAACCUACAAGUCCCUCUGACCCCAAAGCUCCUCUGGGUCCUAGGCAUUUUCAAAUGCUGUGACAAGAUUUUACCUCAGCCUGGCACAUAGUAGGCUCAGAAG
ensembl:lncRNA